ACACGAUAGAUAGAACUGCUCUCGUUUUGUUAUAAAAUAACAAAACUGUUUUAAGGCUGCAAUCACAACCAAAUUCAUGUAUAGUUGGUAAUAAUCGCGUUGUAUCAAUGUUUCUCAUAUCCGACACUAAUAAGUGCGAAUAUGUUUCAAAUCAACUUUUUUUUAAAUUAUUUAUUUUUCCCCUUCGCGCUUGCCGUAGUUGCAAAGCAGAUUUCGCGGGCAGUUUGAGUUGGUGAUGGCGGCCACAACGUCCAUGUUGACUUCACUCGCUCUUUCUAAGCUGCCCAAGUCACGUCGGAGUUCAUUGACGGUAACUUUGUUGGCUUAAACAUCACAUUUAGGUUUAGGGUCUUCUAGGCGCGAUGCGAGACGUCACAAGCGGGCUAACGUUGAGCCAAACAGCAGCUUCGAGGCACGGGCGGAAAUGAGAAGGAGUUUGGCCCCCAGUCAGGUCGCCAAACGGAAGCAAGGGGAGGAUGAUCAUCGAGACGAAAUAUAUUAUAUUAACCACGAGCGGUUCUCGAGAGAAGAUGAAUGGAGAAAAUUGGGACAGUGAUGAAGAAGUCCAAGUUCCAUGGCCACUCAACAAAGCAGGAGGAAGGAAGCAGUCACAAACCAAAUACGUGGCAAGAAUUCUGAGAUUUGGUGAAGACACACGUGAACUGACGCCAUAUUUGAAAGCCGCUCAGGAUGGCAAGGAUGUACCCCUUACUGGUGAUUUGGAAUAUGGCAGAGGCAAGAGAAACAAACAGCCAAAGUCUUGGUCAUCAGACAGUGAGAGCAAGGAUGAAAGUGUUGAGGAGACUCUAUCUGACAGACAGCAGAAGAAAAAGAGGAAAGUAAGCCGUACAGCUGUGGGAUAUGAUGCUCGGGCACAAUUGAAGGCCCAACUUGCUGCUCUGGGAAGAACUUCACCGAAAGAUACAUGUACAGAAAUGGAAUCCCUGAAGAAGGAAGUCCUCCAGUUGAGAGAGGAAAACAAAUCCCUUCGAGAUGCAUUGAGGGUUGUUGAAGGACUUCCUGGCCUGCUAAUGAAGAUGGACGACUUAUCACGUCAGGCAACAAUACUAUCAGCUCGACGUCCUGCUGUCGCUCUGCCAGAGAGGAGCUGGCCAACAGCAGCUUGACAGGAAAAAAAUCCAAUGCUUUUAAGGAUAAGCAUGAGAAACCAAAACUGGAUGACAAGAAAGUGUCUGCUAUUAUUGAUUUUGUGAAGAAGCUCCAUCCCUCAAGUGAAUCAAAUGUGAUAAAGAAAAUCAUUGGAGUGAAACUGAACAUUGCGCAGAAAAUGGGAAAAAAAGAAGGCCUCAGAAACAAAUUCUGCUGGACGUCUAGCCGUCUCUAACAGUCGGGGAAGCGCGGUGAUCAUGUUGAUUUA